UCAGUCGACUCCUACGGGGAGGCAGCAGUGGGGGGAAUAUUGCACAAUGGGCGCAAGCCUGAUGCAGCCAUGCCGCGUGUGUGAAGAAGGCCUUCGGGUUGUAAAGCACUUUCAGUCGUGAGGAAGGUAGUGUAGUUAAUAGCUGCAUUAUUUGACGUUAGCGACAGAAGAAGCACCGGCUAACUCCGUGCCAGCAGCCGCGGUAAUACGGAGGGUGCGAGCGUUAAUCGGAAUUACUGGGCGUAAAGCGCAUGCAGGUGGUUUGUUAAGUCAGAUGUGAAAGCCCGGGGCGUCAACCUCGGAAUAGCAUUUGAAACUGGCAGACUAGAGUACUGUAGAGGGGGGUAGGAAUUUCAGGUGUAGCGGUGAAAUGCGUAGAGAUCUGAAGGAAUACCGGUGGCGAAGGCGGCCCCCUGGACAGAUACUGACACUCAGAUGCGAAAGCGUGGGGAGCAAACAGGAUUAGAUACCCUGGUAG
rnacentral:rRNA from 1 species